GAAAUGCGAUAAGUAAUGUGAAUUGCAGAAUUCAGUGAAUCAUCGAAUCUUUGAACGCACAUUGCGCCCACUAGUAUUCUGGUGGGCAUGCCUGUUCGAGCGUCAUUUCAAACCUUUUUGACCUCAAAUCGGGUAGGACUACCCGCUGAACUUAA
rnacentral:misc_RNA from 1 species